rnacentral:rRNA from 1 species
CCGUGCGAAGGUAGCGCAAUCACUUGUCUUUUAAAUGGAGACCUGUAUGAAUGGCAUAACGAGGGCUUAGCUGUCUCCUAUUUCCAGUCAAUGAAAUUGAUCUCCCCGUGCAGAAGCGGGGAUACGUACAUAAGACGAGAAGACCCUAUGGAGCUUUAGACACCAAAGCAGACCAUGUUAAACACCCCGAGACAAAGGACCAAACCAAAUGAACCCUGCCCUAAUGUCUUUGGUUGGGGCGACCGCGGGGAAACACAAAACCCCCACGUGGAACGAGAACACCUCCUCUCACAACCAAGAGCUCCCGCUCUACUAAACAGAAAUUCUGACCAAUCAGAUCCGGCAUAAGCCGAUCAACGGACCGAGUUACCCUAGGGAUAACAGCGCACUCCCCUUUUAGAGGCCAUAUCGACAAGGGGG